UACGGAGGAUGCAAGCGUUAUCCGGAUUUAUUAGGUAUAAAGGGUGCGUAGGCGGACCUGUUAGUCAGUGGUGAAAUACUACGGCUUAACCGUAGAACUGCCAUUGAUACUGCAGGUCUUGAGUACAGUUGAGGUAGGCGGAAUGUGUGGUGUAGCGGUGAAAUGCUUAGAUAUCACACAGAACACCGAUUGCGAAGGCAGCUUACUAAGUUGUAACUGACGCUGAUGCACGAAAGCAUGGGGAGCAAACAGG
rnacentral:rRNA from 1 species